rnacentral:lncRNA from 1 species
GUAUAUUUUUUUAAACCUAAUAGAUUGUCAAUAACCCUUAGAUCCCCUUUUCUGACUCCUCCCUCCUUCAGUCCACUUUCCUGUUUUCUGAAAGCUUCAGUCUGUUUGUUUAAAGAGACUUAAGGAAAUUUUCUCUCCUCAGCCUUGUCAACUGCAGAAUUGUCUGACCCUCAGGAUGUCUUUGAAUGGGACAGAGAGUUGCUUGAAAACAAUGGAGGCUCUCGAAGUAGCGUAAAAAAACUUGGAUUAGAUCACUGCCAAAAGUUGAGUUAGGAAAGUGAACUGAUUUCGUUCUAUUCAAACCUGAGCAUUUCUAAAUACUUAAGAAAACA